UGUGAGAAUUGCAUAUUUGUUGGCUGCCUUGUUCAUACUUUUUUUUUACAAUCAUGGAGAUUUGAAGGCAGCCCCAAAAUCAUUAAAUCACACAGCAUGGAUAUUACUUGGAACAUAUCACACAGCAGACAUAUUAGUAAGGGACGAAAUAUCCUCAUCAUUAAGCAUAUGGCUUUUUUUACUUUGCUCACAUUUACAUCAACACCAAGCACCAAGAAAAAAAAAAUUCUGCUCUAGAAAAAGUGAAAGAGGAUGCAAAGCUUUACAAAAUCUGCAGUCCAAAUUUUGCAGCAGCAACUACUGCUGGUCAGACCUUCUUUGUUUACUUUCCAGAGGGUCGCCGACGUGGAGAAACUGGUUGAAGACUGUAAUGAUCCAAAGGGAAAGCCUAUAGUAGCAAACGACGCCGUAAGACUACAAUAACAGAAUUAUCGGACGGGUGACAGUUGUGAACUGAACUGUGCAGUAACCUAAAACGCAGCGUUUGAGGAGUCAGUUGCAGAACGGUCAAAGGCAAGGCCAUGCGACGUCGUUUAGUAGCUUGAGUAGUUUAAGCUGUUAAGCAGUUGCUAGCAGUUGUAAUCCUUCAGAUAAAUAGACAGUUAGAAUGUAAUCAAGCUAUGUUUUUACCAAAUGCAAUGCUAUUCUGAAUUCUUCUCA